rnacentral:lncRNA from 1 species
AUCGGAUUUUAGGUUUAUUAACUUGGAGUUUGAUUGUGAGCAUUAUUAUUGGACCGAGUUUAAUACUAUAUGGGCCGAGGCUCUAAUUAAGCGGAAGAAAGAUGAUGAAUUAUUUGGUAGUUUUAAUAGUUGUAAAAUAAAUGUGUGAUUCUGAGUCCAGAGACCAAUAUAACUCGACAUUUAUCACGUAGAUAGUGUUUCUUUUUAUUAACCUGGAUAUCUUGAAUAUAUGGGAGGAUCUUAAUAAUUUCCAAAGAGACCUCUCUACGGAAUUUUCUUUUUUUUUGUGAAUUACUGAGAGGUCCGGGGCCGAAACUCUUAUCUCUUGUCCCAAACCACAGACAUGUAAAAUUGCAGGAAUGAAAAAAAAAAUGAAUAAGAAAAAAACGUAAAUAAAUAAAAUUGCAGGAAUGAAAAAGAAUGGUUGUUCCAUCCCAUAUUUAACCAGGAAUAACUUAAAUUUCUCUACAAAAAAAGGAAUGAUAGAGAAUGAGAAAGAAAAAUUAUUCCUUAUGAAUGAUGAUUUUUUGUAAGAAUGCAAAAGAAUGCAUUAUUCCUCGUCGUUUCUUAGUCACCAUUCAUACGCAAUAUUAGUUACGUCUCUACACUUUAAAUAAUGAGCGCAUGUCUACAUGACUAAAUGAUGGAGUGUAGUAGGAUUCCUUUAAAUCUGGGUUGCUUAGUAACUCAAAGCUUGCUUACUACUAAAUAACUUUAAACAAAUUUCUUUCAAAGUCACUAGAUAGGGUAUAUGAAUGCCAAUUUUGGCCGUAAAUCAUAAGACUA